GGUAUAAUGUGGAUGGCCUCGGCCAGCACCACAGGGCCUGGUGUGGUGAAGACGGCCUCAGCCAGAAGCACUGGCCCAGGUGUAAAAUGGAUUGCAUCAGCCAGCAGCACAGGCCCUGGUGUGGUGAAGAUGGCCUCACAGGAAGCACAGGCCCUGGUGUGAUAUGGAUGGUAUCAGCCAGCACCACAGGGCCUGGUGAAAUAUAGAUGGCAUCAGCCAGCACCACAGGCUCUGGUGAAAUGUAGAUGACGUCAGCCAGCAGCGCAGGCCCUGGUGUGGUGAAGAUGGCCUCACAGGAAGCACUGGCUCUGGUGUAAUAUGGAUGGUAUCAGCCAGCAGCACAGGCUCUGGUGAAAUGUAGAUGACGUCAGCCAGCAGCGCAGGCCCUGGUGUAAUGUGGAUGGCAUCACCAGCAGCACAGGCCCUUGUGUGCUG
ensembl:lncRNA